UAUCUACUCAUUUCCCUGUCAAAUUAGACACUAACUCUUAAAAGAGUCUCACCUCAUAAAUGCUGUUCAUAUCUCACCUACUGUAAUUCAUCAUGAAAGGUUGUUCUGUUGGACCGGACUGUUUGAAAGAUACGUUUUAGGAACGCCCCUAACUGCGUUCAACCAAUCAGCGUUGGACGACACAACCAAUAAGUUUCCCGCAACCUUCCGAAAGACCCACAUAGCUGUCAGGACAUCCGGAAAGUUCAUGAAGAACUGAAUCUACCUGUGUGGUCUUUGGUGGAAACAACUAUUUAAAAAGUUCCUGCAGUGGAAAAGGGCCUGCUUUUACCUUUGAAGUAUCUUCUCAGCCUCUUCCUUGCUGAUGUCCAUCCCAAGAUCUGCAAGCGACUGCUUGAUUUCCAUGAAGUCUAUUUGGCCUGUUUGAAGAAAAGCAAAACAUCAACACUUUGUCUGCAUACAUCUUAAAAACGUCGAGAAUAUUUACCGUACCGUCGUUGUUUUUGUCCAAGCUCUUGAACGUUAAUUGUAACUUCUUCUCAUGUUCCAUCAGGUACUUGGAGAACUCGUUGAAGUCAAGCCCGUCGUCUUGGUCCUGGUCUCCAGAGGAAACAAUUUUCUAAAAAGUUCUCCCUGGUUCCUCGUCGCUUGUGAGCUGUUCCUUGGUUCGAUUCUUGUUCCUGCUACCUGUCUCCUGUUUUUCUGUUCUCCCUGGUUCCUCGUCGCUUGUGAGCUGUUCCUUGGUUCGAUUCUUGUUCCUGCUACCUGUCUCCUGUUUUUCUGGUGGUCCUUGGCAAAAGCCUAGUACCUGACUGCCCACUAGCCAGGGAUACGGUGUAGACCUCAACGGCGGAGCAGGCGGAAGACGGUAGAUUUAAGAACAACCCCAACAGCGGAGGAAGGCUGCAGCAGAAAAGGGUCCCCAGUCGUCUUGGACUCCAUGCCACUAGACCUUGACCCGAUUCUGUCAAGGAUGGUGUGGUGACUUUCUGUGUACCAGUCUCCCCUACCAGGAGGAUCGUCAUACUCGUUGGACUGACCGCCGAUGAUGAUGCUACGUUCAGUGUUGCUGCAACUAAAACCUUACAAUUUCCCUGACGGCAAACCUAAACAGGACCGUAAAGUGUCUAAUCAAAUGUUAUCUAAAUUUACUGAUUUGCUUUCAUUGUCUACAAACUUGCUUAUACCAGAUUUGCACCGUAAACCAGAACUGGUCGCCAGCCAAUUACAGGAGACAUACACGAUAUUGCCAAAAGUAUUUGGCCCCCUGCCUUGACUCACAUAUGAACUUGAAGUGCCAUCCCAGUCCUAACCCAUAGGGUUCAAUAUGAUGUGGGUCCACCUU